rnacentral:rRNA from 1 species
GACGAACGCUGGCGGCGUGCUUAACACAUGCAAGUCGAGCGAUGAGAUCACUUCGGUGAAGGAUUAGCGGCGAACGGGUGAGGAACACGUGAAGAAUCUGCCUUCAACUCUGGGAUAACUCCGGGAAACCGGGGCUAAUACCGGAUCUGAGCCUUGAUCGCAUGAUCGGGGCUGGAAAGUUUUUCGGUUGAAGAUGACUUCGCGGCCUAUCAGCUUGUUGGUGAGGUAAUGGCUCACCAAGGCGACGACGGGUAGCCGGCCUGAGAGGGCGACCGGCCACACUGGGACUGAGACACGGCCCAGACUCCUACGGGAGGCAGCAGUGGGGAAUAUUGGACAAUGGGCGAAAGCCUGAUCCAGCAAUACCGCGUGAAUGAUGAAGGCCUUAGGGUUGUAAAGUUCUUUUAGUUGGAAAGGUAAUGACGGUACCAACAGAAAAAGCCCCGGCUAACUCCGUGCCAGCAGCCGCGGUAA